CCUCCGAAAUCAGAGAAACUGCUCGAUGAUGAUCUUCCUAAAUGAUGACUUUAGCAAAAGUCAAAAAUGACUGCGUUAUUUCACCGGUUCUGAGAGCAGCUCGGGAGGAGGGUGUCUGUGGGUGGUUAGCUGGCUUCUGG